UUUACAGUAGUCUCUAUAUUUUAUUUCUUCUAAAGAACCCUCACAGUAAUUUCUAAACAGGUGAAUCAGUUGGUUGCCAUUUCCUAGGGCCUCCUCAGUGAGCACAUUACUCCGAUUUUCCUGGAAGUCACUCUACAGUCGUGAGGGUUCCAGCCUUCUGAUGAAGCCAACGCUGAGUGUGGCAGAGAGGAGGGACGGAAAGGGACAAGCUCCCUCAGGAUCUCAGCGAGCUGCUUGACCACGCUGCUGGACUCUUCCUGGAUGCAUAAUCAAAUAUAUAAGUAAAAAUUGACAUUUCCUUUGAGAACUACUUGGACAGUGACCUGAACAUCUCAAGAAAAACCUUGGUGGAAUUGCAUGAACCUGAUUUGGGUCAAAAUUAAGCACCACGCUGAAAAUCAUGCCUUUGUGAAAUGACAAAUUGAAAGUGUUCAGAAAUUGCAUUUGAACUAGUUGAGAUCCUGAUACAGGUUAGUGGUUCUUUACCUUACCAUUUGAUGAAGGGGUGACAUUGAUGAUUCAAGCAUUUUAGCAAGCUUUAUUUGCUCUAUCUGUAAUGAAAAUGUAAUAAUAGUAACAUUUCAUUGGUUCUAAGCUGCAAUUCUACGGCCCCCCACCCCCUAACCCACAUACAUUUUUAGCAGCUGUGUAAUUAGGAUGGGUCUUAAGAUCAGUGUCUUACAGUCAUUGACACAAGGUCAUAACAUGGUUGUCAUUGCCGACACCUUCUGGUGAGAUCCAGAAAGACCCGGGAACAAAAUUUGCAGAAUGAGUGAGUGUCAGCAGCCUGGGAGAAACCUCUGAGACCUCACCAUAGCAUCUUUGUAAGAACUGCUUCCUCAUCAACGCUCUUGAUGGCAAAGGGUGAUUUUGUAUUGAAAGAUACACACAAUGACAAGAUUGAGCUGAAAAUCACAAACAAGAUUUAGACUCUCUGAAAAAGUUUGGGAAUAACUUAACCAACCUUUUUCACUUGUUUUCCUAUUUUGAGUGCCCAAGGGUGACACAUGAGAUGUCUAAAUAAGUCUAAAAAAUUACUUUCAAUAAGUCUUUUUUAAAAAUUAUUAUACUUUAAGUUUUA
rnacentral:lncRNA from 10 species